rnacentral:tRNA from 1 species
UUUUAAUUUGAGUAUGAUAUCUUUAUUUGUCUUUGCGAU